UUUGUGCAGUGAACAGCCUGCCCCGCCAUCUAAGGCAGCCAAAGCAAGCUCUGUGUUGGUAUCUCCAGCAGCCAGCACCAGACCAGGCACACAGAGCACGCUCAACAUAUGCCCGUUGAAUAAUGGACAAAGUUAGAUAAUGCCAGAAUCCAGUCUGGAGUCCCAGAGAGAGAAGGGAAGGGAGGAAGGCAGAGCAAAACCGAAGUGGGAAGUCCGGGCACCUGAAGUUUCUGGCUGAGCCACAGAUGCCUCCUCUGGGAACCACCUGGGUUUACCUGCCACCCAGGAAAAUUCCCCUCCAACUUCUGAGAGCACAAAGUGAGUGGGCAGCCAAGGCGGGAGGUGGCCCCUCCCCGGGACGCCGCGGGCCCCAGCGAGAGAUGGUAACUGCCAAGUCUCACCCGAAACUCCUCACAGCCCAGACUUGCUUCUGGGGUGGAGCCAGGAACCUGAGAGGCCCUGAGGCGGGGACCAGGCGUCCCCUAUUUUCACAGCCCAGAGAUGGGAGGGGGCUGGCUUGGGGUCACCCAGAAUAGGAGUCAAGGGAAAAGCAUUCCUGGAGAUGAGUAAAGAGGGAAGAGGAAAGGACGUGCUUAGGGCUGAACUGUCAAUGGAAGGUGAAGCUCAAGGCCAAGUUAGGGAGAUUGAACUUGGCCGUGUGUCCAAACACUUAAUCUGUUAUUCUAUACACACUCAAUUCGGUCCCUCUGUACCUAGUUCCAGCCUGAGUGAUCCUGGGUGACUUAGAGGGGACUCCUAAGACUGGGAGGACAAACAGACCUCCCUGUUCUGUGGGUCAGGAGUGAGCCAGGCGGGCUGGAGGCUUAGGACCCAGAGGCCAACUGGGAGAGGGCUGCUGAACCCGAUGGAGAUUGGGAGUUAGUGCCAGGACCUUGAAAAUGUAGGACUACGUCAGGUGAAAAAGACCCGAAAGCACUUCCUGGGCAGAAAAUACAAGUCUGGAGGUGUGUAUAAAUCAGACAAGUGUUCGACUUCCCUGGUGGUACAGUGGAUAAGAAUCCACCUGGCAAUGCAGGCGAUAUGGGUUCGAUCCCUGGGCCAGGAAGAUUCCACAUGCUGCAGAGCAACUAAGCCAAUGUGC
ensembl:lncRNA